rnacentral:rRNA from 1 species
ACGGGUGAGUAACGCGUAGGAAUCUGCCCUAAAGAGGGGGACAACCCGAGGAAACUCGGGCUAAUACCGCAUAAUCUCGAGAGAGAAAAGCUGGGGCAACCUGGCACUUUAGGAGGAGCCUGCGUCCGAUUAGCUAGUUGGUAGGGUAAAAGCCUACCAAGGCGACGAUCGGUAGCUGGUCUGAGAGGAUGAUCAGCCACACUGGGACUGAGACACGGCCCAGACUCCUACGGGAGGCAGCAGUGGGGAAUAUUGGACAAUGGGGGCAACCCUGAUCCAGCAAUGCCGCGUGUGUGAAGAAGGCCUUCGGGUUGUAAAGCACUUUAGUUGGGGAAGAAGGUAUGUAGUUUAAGAGAUGACAUAUUUGACGGUACCCAAAGAAUAAGCACCGGCUAACUCUGUGCCAGCAGCCGCGGUAAUACAGAGGGUGCAAGCGUUAAUCGGAUUUACUGGGCGUAAAGGGCGCGUAGGCGGUUAUUUAAGUUUGAUGUGAAAGCCCUGGGCUUAACCUAGGAACUGCAUUGAAAACUGGGUAACUGGAGUACUGUAGAGGGUAGUGGAAUUUCCGGUGUAGCG